rnacentral:rRNA from 1 species
UACGAAGGGGGCUAGCGUUGUUCGGAUUUACUGGGCGUAAAGCGCACGUAGGCGGAUCGAUCAGUCAGGGGUGAAAUCCCAGAGCUCAACUCUGGAACUGCCUUUGAUACUGUCGAUCUCGAGUAUGGAAGAGGUGAGUGGAAUUCCGAGUGUAGAGGUGAAAUUCGUAGAUAUUCGGAAGAACACCAGUGGCGAAGGCGACUUACUGGACACAUAUUGACGCUGAGGUGCGAAAGCGUGGGGAGCAAACAGG